rnacentral:rRNA from 1 species
GAUGAACGCUGGCGGCGUGCUUAACACAUGCAAGUCGAACGAUUAAGACCCCUUCGGGGGUGUAUAGAGUGGCGAACGGGUGAGUAACACGUGGGCAACCUGCCCCUUCCUCUGGGAUAACACGGAGAAAUCCGUGCUAAUACCGGAUACUCCGUACCUGCGGCAUCGCGGGUGCGGGAAAGCUCCGACGGGAAGGGAUGGGCCCGCGGCCUAUCAGCUUGUUGGUGGGGUGAUGGCCUACCAAGGCGACGACGGGUAGCCGGCCUGAGAGGGUGACCGGCCACACUGGGACUGAGAUACGGCCCAGACUCCGACGGGAGGCAGCAGUGGGGAAUAUUGCACAAUGGGCGCAAGCCUGAUGCAGCGACGCCGCGUGAGGGAUGACGGCCUUCGGGUUGUAAACCUCUUUCAGCACCGACGAAGCGCAAGUGACGGUAGGUGCAGAAGAAGGACCGGCCAACUACGUGCCAGCCGCCGCCGUAA